rnacentral:rRNA from 1 species
UACGUAGGGGGCUAGCGUUGUCCGGAAUCAUUGGGCGUAAAGCGCGUGUAGGCGGCCCGGUAAGUCCGCUGUGAAAGUCGGGGGCUCAACCCUCGGAUGCCGGUGGACACUGUCGGGCUCGAGUACGGAAGAGGCGAGUGGAAUUCCUGGUGUAGCGGUGAAAUGCGCAGAUAUCAGGAGGAACACCGGCGGUGUAGACGGCUUUCUGGACCGUAGCUGACGCUGAGACACAAAGCGUGGGUAGCAAACAGG